GGGUCUCAACCCCAGUCCUCUCCAACUGAAACUUGUCCAGCCUUUGCUCCUUCAUAGAGAAUGUCAUUAACACCAUGACCCACAGCGAGAGAAAUGUGGGCAGGAAGGAUGGCUCAGCGGAUAAGAGCACUGACUGCUCUUCCAGAGGUCCUGAGUUCAAUUCCCAGCAACCACAUGGUGGCUCACAACCAUCUGUAAUGGGAUCCGAUGCCCGCUUCUGGUAUGUCUGAAGACAGGGACAGUGUACUAUAAACAAACAAACGAACAAAUUAAUAAAGUAAUAUGUUAUUUUAAAAAGAGAAAUAGAAAAACCCUUCUUUUUCUUCUUCAACUUCCUCCUCCUCCUCAUCUUCUUUUUGGAGGCAGGGUUAAAACAGGGUUUUACUAUAUAGCCC
ensembl:lncRNA